rfam:Caldisalinibacter kiritimatiensis strain L21-TH-D2 NODE_87, whole genome shotgun sequence.
AAGCUAGCAUCUUUUAAAGAGCUAGACUGUUUUAGAAAAAUUGAAUAUAGUUUCUAAAACGUCUAGUAUCCAUGCUAGGAACUAGAACG